rnacentral:misc_RNA from 1 species
UCUCCGUUGGUGAACCAGCGGAGGGAUCAUUACAGGAUCGAAAGACUCCUAUAACCCCUGUGAACUUACUACAAAUACGUUGCUUCGGCGGGUGCCCCGGGUCUCCCGGGGCGUUCAGCCCGCCGGCAGCCCUCAAAUUCUGUUUCUUUGCGUUGGCAUCUCGAGUAUACAAAAAUAAGUUAAAACUUUCAACAACGGAUCUCUUGGUUCUG